rnacentral:lncRNA from 1 species
CUCGACCUUUCGUUCUCACCCACAGCCUAGCACCAUCUUGUCUUGCCCACGAGAGAAGCAAACUCAAGAUCCACAUCGCCUAAUCGCCUUGCGUCAGUGCUUCUGCUUGCUGUCUGCCGCGGCUGCACGGAUGAGAGAAGUUGCAUCCUUCUGACUCUGUUGCUCGCCUUCAGACACCCGUCCGUCGCCUCUAACACCGGUGCGUUGUUUGGUCUUCCCUGUGAGUUCGCAGCCACCGCUAGCUGCGAGGAGGCGCACAAAAAAGACGUCGAGGCUGCCGCUGUCCCACAUGUAUUUGUAUAUUUUCUUCAUGGUCGAGAUUUGCAGGUAAUGACCGAUUCUCUUAAGCGUUGGCUAAAAUUGUGUUUUGUCAUUGUAAUUUCUGAAGAAAAUAGUAUCCGUAAAUGUAAAUCCAAGAUUCUCAUUCAAACCUAAUAGUACCAAGCAAAAUAGUUAACAACCUAAUGUUUAGAAUACUAGGGAAACAUAGUAUAGAAAUCUGGACUAAAUGGCUGAAUUGGGCUAUGUUGCUGCAGUGCUUGGUUUUGCUAGAACAUUGACAUCAGAUUAACCCAGGGUGGGGGCACUGAUGCACCUUCAACAACAUUCUCUGUUGUAUGCAUGUGGUUUCGGUUGUUGGGGAUCUCCAAGUGGCCUUGAAAUUGUUGUACCAUCUCUGAUGCUUGUGGAUGUGGUGGUGGUGCUUGCGCCAUAGUAUUAGUGUCUUUUUUAUCCUUUUCCUGUUUCGUGAUGAUUUCUCUAAGCCACCAAUAGGUCUUGCUGAUCCACGAAUUUCCUUUGCCUUGACCUUGACACCCCUUGGCUUCCUAGCACUACAGGAAACGCCUAAAUUUUCGUAGGCCGAUAUAUUUUCGUCGGCCGGCCCACGAAAAUAGAAGGUUAUUUUCGUCGGCCUUUGGGGCCGACGAAAAUACGGCCUAUUUUCGUGGGCCCGGGCAUAUGUUCGUCGGCAGGCCCACAAAAAUAAGGGCGCUAUUUUCGUCGGCCUAGUAACCGACGAAAAUAGUUGUUAUUUACGUGGGCCGGGGCUGUGCCGACGACAAUACGCCAUCUAUUUUCAUCGGCUUUAGGGGGGCCGACGAAAAUACGACAUUUAUUUUCGUCGGCCCCAAUGCGGCCGACGAAAAUAGACGCCCUAAAUCGUCCCGGACGCGCGACCGCACCUUCUCUCUCCCUCUCGCUCCUUUCUCUGUUUUGAGCGCCGCCGCACGCCGAACUCCGUCCGUCGCGCGCGCCGUCGCCUGCCCUCGUCGUCCGUCGCGCGCGCCCUCGCCUGACCUCGCCGUGCGUCGCGCGCUCGCCGCCGCACUCGCCUGCCCUCGCCGCCGCACUGCCCGAGGUCUCCUGCCCUCGCGCGCUCGCCGCCCUCGCGCGCUUGACGCCGCACGCUCCUGCACUCGCCUGCCCUCGCCGCCGCACUCUCCUUCCCUCGCCUCCCCUCGCCGUCGCGUGCGCCCGCCUGCCCUCGCCAUCGCGCCCCGCCUGCCCUCGCCGUCCGUCGCGCGCGCCCGUCCGUCCACGCCGAGCUCGACUGUCCACGCCGUCCGUCGCGUGCGCCCGCCGUCAGUCCACGCCGAGCUCCGUCGCGCGCGCCCGCCGUCCGUCCACGCCGAGAUCCGUCGCGCGCGCCCGCCGUCCGUCCACGACGCCCUCGUUCCCCGCGGUGAGCCUCCCCGUCUCCCUUCUUCCCCCUCUGUCAUGUACAGCGAAUUCGUCUUCGGCGCUCGCUGAUUUGGUAUUCGUCCGUCCGGCCUGUGCCAAGUGGCUGGGGGAGGGACGUGGCUGCGGCCUGCGACUUGGCGCUAGCUAGCUAGCGGGGCGCGACGGGGAGGAGAGGGCUGCCGCCAGCCAGCCGAGGACCGAUGGUUCUUGGACUCCAAUCCACACCCAACUACAUCAUUUCCUUGCUUGCCGAAGUGUGCUACCACAUAUGUUUGUCUCAUGCCACUCGUUGGAGUUUGGUGAGAACAAUAGUGUUGUCGUGAUUGAGCUUGGCAUGAGUGGCGAAGAGGUUGGCAGUGAGAGACUUAGCGCUAGCUAGCUAGCGAGACGCGACGGGGAGGAGAGGGCUGCCGCCAGCUAGCCGAGGACCGGCGUCACGGACCCGUCAGCGCACAUGCGGGACUGACGACGAGUCCGGCCAGCCGGUCGGGGUCGGACCGCUUCGGCACACGCGUAUUUGGACCGUAGCGAACCAUUAUUUUUUAAUGUUUAUUUUUUAAUUCAUAUUUGUCUCUGAGUUAACCGUAGCAAACCGUAUGCGUCACCCGUUCGGGAACGGCGAACGUCACAUUGGCUUGUGAGGUUCGCUGUUCCGGAAUUGUCCACGUAUUUUGGACAGCCUAAGAGUGUAGGCCGAUGCUUGUGAUUUGUGACAUGUGCCUUACGAUUGACGCGGAAUUUCGGUUGUGUAACCCAGUUGUUCUCCAACACACCAUGUUCAGGCGUGUGCUUGGAGAGCAGCGGGGUUAUGCUGCCGAAAUUUCGCGGCAAUCGUAGGCUACACGACACAAAUCACAAGCAUCGGCGUACACUCUUGGGUGGGUUUAGGGCCUUUACCUAAUAGGGAGUUCACCUAAGCCAUGGACGAUCGUUGAUGUUCUUUGUCUUUUGUUUAGCCUUUGAAAUGGACGGUGAUCGGAGGAUGAUGUAUGACAGGUGGAGAAAGGAUGGGGCACAUUCGAAUGAAUGGAUGGGUGUAACAAAGGCUUUUCUUGAGCACGCUUUCAAAGAUGCAACUGGUCGUCUAGUGAAGUGUCCUUGCAAUCGCUGCGAGAACAAGUGGCCUCAGAAGAAGGAAGAAAUGGAGAAACACCUUUGCAAAAGUGGGUUUAUGCCGAACUACCUUGUAUGGUACCGACAUGGAGAGUCUAUUAGACACGUUGACGCGGAGGUGGAACUUGAUGACGAUCAUGAUAGGAUGGACGACAUGUUGCAUGAUCUUGGUAGGGAUGUUGAAAUGAACGCUGAGGAGCCGGGGCAGCUUCCACGCGAUGCUCAAGAAUUCUUCCGGCUACUCGCCGCGGGAGAAGAGAGACUGCACGAGCACACUCAGAUGUCAGUUCUUGGGACUCUCACAAGACUAAUGGCGAUAAAGUCGAGGCACAACAUUUCAAACAGUGCUUACAACGACAUCGUCCAACUGAUGGGCGAGGUUCUCCCGGAAUAUGUUCCCAGGUUAUUUUCGUCGGCCACCACCUAGGCCGACGAAAAUAGCCUGCACGUAUUUUCGUCGGCCACCACCGGCCGACGACAAUUGAUGGUCGACUGCCUAUUUUUGUCGGCUUUGGGAAAGCCGACGAAAAUAGCCGCCUAUUUUCGUCGAACUUAUUUUCGGCGGCUAUUUUCGUCGGCCUGCCGACGAAAAUACUCUAUUUUCGUCGGUUUAGGCUUAUUUUCGUGGGUUUUUGGCCCACGAAAAUUUAGGCGUUUCCUGUAGUGUAGUCUGCACAGUUUCCUUUGAGCCUGUAAAUAAUUACAUUAGGAGGUGCAACAAUGAAAACAAUAGUUAAAUGAAAUGUUAAUAAUAUAUUUAUGUGAUAUAUUGUAGGUACCUCGUGGAGUAGAGGAACUGUUCAGGUUUGAGCUAGGCUUAAUCUUCAAAUUAUUCUCUGUCUUCUGCCAAUUUCUCAGCUGUUUGUGUACAAAUACUAUAAGUUUCUUCAGAUUCUGCAGCUCGAGCGAGUAUACAAUUGUAAACUCGUGUUAAGUUACUGAAGCGAUUCGAUAACUGGACUUUAGGAUCAUCAUGCAUGGUAAGUGUGCUAGGUAUAUGUACCACUUUUGCACCAAUUGUCCACCUCUUUAGUAUGUAUUCCUCAGGAACUGAUUUAAUACUAUUGAUAUCCAGUAUCUUUAGUGCAUGAGAGCAUAGGAUUCCAGCAAAUUCAAAUUUCUUGCAGCUGCACCUCACUUUUAACUCCAAAGGUGAGAACUUAACAGUAUGUUCAUGAUGCUUUCCAUGAACUUUUACUUUAUACACAUUCUCUGCACCAUCAUCGCCACAACAAAAGAAGUAACAAUUUAAAGUUUGCAACACCUGUUCCUCAAAUAAUCUAAACACCACUGGUGUAUACACUUUUGCUGCUUGCUUUAAUAUUGUCAAUUCUGCCUUUGGCACAGGUGUGCUCUGUGUUGCUUUGAAGUCACUUGUAACUUCUUCAUAUCGUUUGUCCCUAAGCAGACUGUCAAAGUGCUCAAAAAAAGUAAGCAUGUCAUACUUUACACUGAUGUAGCCUUUUAUUUCAUUGUUUAAGCUUUCAUUUCUUUGUGUAGAACUCAUAUCAGCUGAGAAUGAGUUUCUACCAUAUACUAGUGCCCAAUGAUAUCUUUUUCAAAAAGGCAUUUCAGCCAAAUGUUACCUUGAAGCUCAAACCUCUCAAGCAAUAUGUUCCAUGCAUGUAUAAAAUCAUCCUCUUCUUCUGACCUACUGGCACAUGCACCGUGUCUCUGACCUACUAGCACUCUUAUUUUUGUCAACUGAAUUUGACCUUUUGUCAAAACGACGAGCUCCUGUUAGUGUCAAAAAUUGGUUCAGAUUACAUGGUCAUAGGAUCAGUUAUUGUAAUAAGAAUAGUUGACGUCAAAUACCUUCACGGGAGCAACAAAAUACCCUAGUCUUGAUAUUUAAAGAAGUCCCCACAUAAUGGCAGUCGUUCCUUCGGAUACUGAAACCUAUCUCUCUAGCAUAAGCAUUAUAAAAGUCAUAUGCCUCUUGCUCAGAGUUAAAUUUCAUUCCAAUUUUUGGAACCAUGUCUUCUGGACAAUUAUUCACUAUAGAUGCACCAAUUUCUUCGAUCUCCUAAUUUAAAGGGAUGUGCAGAAUGAAGUUAGUAGUAAGGAUGUACCUAACAUGUUGGUUUCAGGUUUUAUUCAAUGGAUGCAUCCAGGUUCUAGGAGAGAAUCAUGAGUAAACUUGUUGGCAGGAUUUAAAAUUGAAAAACAUAUCAUUCACCUGUUCACCCUCAAGAUGGGACUCUACGCCAGGAUGGUCCUCGAAACCAUCCGCUUCUCUAGCACCAGGGCGCAUCAUCGGCAGGCGUUGAGUUGAGAGAUUAGGGGAGCAAAAACUUUAUUAUUGUAGGCGUUGAUUUGAGAGAAUGAAUACAUCAUGAUGUGUGGGGAAAAGAAAGGAUGAGAAAAGGCGGGAAUGG